rnacentral:lncRNA from 1 species
CGGGGUUGUUAUGGGGACCCCCUUGAUAAAUCGCGUAGCGUUAAGGCUUGUCCGGCAGGACCCAACUUUGGUUUUAAACUGCUAAUCACAUAAUAAUCUGCAUAGGGAAUAGCUACCCCGAGGAAUUUAAUCAACAACCCGGGCCAGUGCUCCCCAUGAGUGUUGGUCCCACCUGAGCGAUGUCCGGGGCCCCACUGGUCACCCAGAGGUUUAGCCAUCCCGACAUCUAGCUCAUCUGUCGUGUCCUGAGACUGAGAUACGCGGCUCUUAUCAGGGUCGUCGACACGACGGGAGGUCCUGCUAGCCUUGUCUUGCCUUAGCGGUAUAUCUUGUGUAUAGGAAUCCCGGUGAAACUUUGGUUUUCCCCAGAGUUGAGGUUUUCCUCUAAGGAAUCCGACGAGAUCACGAGAUUCGUGAUAGAGGAUGCCUUUGCGGCCUGUGUUCGUUUGUGAUGGACUAGUUGCAGCACC